GUUAGUGGCGCACGGGUGCGUAACGCGUGGGAAUCUGCCCCUUGCUUCGGAAUAACAGUUAGAAAUGACUGCUAAUACCGGAUGAUGACUUCGGUCCAAAGAUUUAUCGGCAAGGGAUGAGCCCGCGUAGGAUUAGCUAGUUGGUGGGGUAAAGGCCCACCAAGGCGACGAUCCUUAGCUGGUCUGAGAGGAUGAUCAGCCACACUGGGACUGAGACACGGCCCAGACUCCUACGGGAGGCAGCAGUGGGGAAUCUUAGACAAUGGGCGCAAGCCUGAUCUAGCCAUGCCGCGUGAUCGAUGAAGGCCUUAGGGUUGUAAAGAUCUUUCAGGUGGGAAGAUAAUGACGGUACCACCAGAAGAAGCCCCGGCUAACUCCGUGCCAGCAGCCGCGGUAAUACGGAGGGGGCUAGCGUUAUUCGGAAUUACUGGGCGUAAAGCGCACGUAGGCGG
rnacentral:rRNA from 1 species